rnacentral:rRNA from 1 species
AGUGAACGCUGGCGGUAGGCCUAACACAUGCAAGUCGAACGGCAGCACAGUAAGAGCUUGCUCUUACGGGUGGCGAGUGGCGGACGGGUGAGGAAUACAUCGGAAUCUACUUUUUCGUGGGGGAUAACGUAGGGAAACUUACGCUAAUACCGCAUACGACCUACGGGUGAAAGCAGGGGAUCUUCGGACCUUGCGCGAUUGAAUGAGCCGAUGUCGGAUUAGCUAGUUGGCGGGGUAAAGGCCCACCAAGGCGACGAUCCGUAGCUGGUCUGAGAGGAUGAUCAGCCACACUGGAACUGAGACACGGUACAGACUCCUACGGGAGGCAGCAGUGGGGAAUAUUGGACGAUGGGCGCAAGACUGAUCCAGCCAUACCGCGUGGGUGAAGAAGGCCUUCGGGUUGUAAAGCCCUUUUGUUGGGAAAGACAAGCAGCAGGUUAAUACCCCGCUGUUCUGACGGUACCCAAAGAAUAAGCACCGGCUAACUUCGUG